UGUGGUGAGGGCGCCUCAGAGACUGCACUGGCGCCGACUCGAAGGCCCCAGAGCCUCUCUUUGGCAAGACGGAGCUUCCCUCCGGGGCUCUGCGGGGCCCCGGGCUCGCGGAGGCUCCACGUGAGCGUCUCCCCCCACGCCGAGAGCGCGCACGCCUGCCCGCCAGCGCCUUCGCGGAGGGAUCUGGGAGUGAAGCGCCGGGACGGGCGCGGGUCGCACAGAUGGAUGAUGUAGCUGCCCCACUUCCUACUUGCACUCUUGUUUACUGGAAAAAUGCAUGGGAGAUCUGUGGAGGCGGUAAAGUGAGGAGUUCUAACUCUGUACAUGUUAUCAUUAUCUUCAUUUUCCAAAUGGGGAAACUGAGGCUCAGAGGCAUUAAGUAACUUGUCCAACAAAACACAACUAAGCAGAAGAGCAGAGGUUUGAUCCCAGAACCAAGGUAUUAUGAGGAUUAAGUCAAUCAAGAUGUCCAGACAAAUGCCAGCAGCUCGGAAGUGAGGUCUGGGCUGGAGAUGGAACAGAUAGCCAGCACCAAGAAGAAGCUGUGGUUGAGGCUGGAGCCUCAGAGCACUCAAGCCUGCAGGGGCAAGUGAAGGGGACAGCCCUGAGGAGGAAAUGAAGACUUUAAUACUAAUAUUUCCAAUGGUUUCAGGGCUAGGCUGUCGAGAUCCAGCAAAGAAAGGAGCAAAUGAGAAAUACCUUGCUUCACACAGCCUGCCCACCUAUCCGUGGUGUUUCAUAUAACUUAAGUGUCAGUACAUUCAAUGAAACAUUUAAUGACCUAAACUUCAAUUGCUAUAAAUAGCAAUACUCCUGUCCAGCAUAAAAUAAGGCAUGAUUAAUGCUGAAGGAAAUGCUGACCAAGGGCAAUGGGGGUUUACAAUCAUAGGGGACAAGAGUGGAGUACAUUUUCUUUGAUAAGUACAGUAAAGUAUAUAAAUGUA